UAUUUCAUAAAAUAAUUUUCAUUAACGUGCACAUGUGACAAUUUAUACCAAUACCCUCUUUUUUACAAUUGUUAUGUUGCUGUUAACUUGGCAGUGAGGUGACUGAAUCAAUUAAUGGAAAUCAGUGAGGUUACUUGUAUCACGAAGCACCCCCAUGAUUCCAAGGCUCAAUCCUUUGAUUUUAGAGACAGCACACUUAGCUUACAAGCAAGAUUAGGCAGUGCUGUGGACUCUAUUUCAGCGCAACACAAGUUCAAGGUAAUUGGAGGUUAAAGAUGGCGCCAAGAAAGAUCUGAUGAGCGAGAUCCAUCAUAUUAUCCAGUAUUAAACUUAUUUCGAUGUACAGUUCUUGUACGUAUUCUGCAAAUAUUUGAAAUUUGAAUGUUUAUGAUAACAAUUCAAACUAUGAAGUCACAAUCACACCAAAUUUUUGUGCAGUCAUUACUUCUCGCAAUACGUCCUUCUUUGCUCCUUGUAAAUGAUUUGCUGUAUAGCAUAUAGUUCACCAUCACAGCGUGUAAGCCUGCUGACGGUUUUCACAUU